GCAGCUGGAGGAGGAGAUUUUGAUUUCAGAGGAAAAUGAGUGACCUCGGCCUGACCAUAUGGGACAGAGGAGAAGGGAAAUUUACCACCACGGACUCCCCUGUGUGGUGAUAGGACCUCUUGCAGCAAAAGGCCAGCCUUCUUGCAGAGGCCCUCCCACAGUUGCGGCUCUUCGUCUCUCUCAAUGCCCCGUCCAGGAAGUCUUCCAUGGAGGCCCAGGCAGAGGUAAGGUU
rnacentral:lncRNA from 1 species